UACGGAGGGUGCGAGCGUUGUCCGGAAUCAUUGGGCGUAAAGGGCGCGUAGGUGGCCCGGUCAGUCCGUGGUGAAAGCGCGGGGCUCAACCCCGCGUCGGCCAUGGAUACUGCUGGGCUGGAGCACUGUAGAGGCAGGCGGAAUUCCGGGUGUGGCGGUGGAAUGCGUAGAGAUCCGGAAGAACACCGGUGGCGAAGGCGGCCUGCUGGGCAGUUGCUGACACUGAGGCGCGACAGCGUGGGGAGCAAACAGG
rnacentral:rRNA from 1 species